CUCCUGAGCUCAAGCGGCCUUCCCACAUUGACUUCCCAAAGUGCUGGGAUUACAGGCAUGAGCCACCAUGCCGGGCUUAGAAUGAUGAAUGAGAUAAAAUGGGGUACAAAGAAAGGAGCAGCCAUUUCUGGAUCUCAGGUGUGAUGUCUCUUUUCAGGGAAGGACAGGGGUGAUACAGCCAUUAAUAAAAGCAAUCUCACUUUCCUGGUUGGUUGUCUCUUUGCCUCCUCCCCUGGAAUAAUACAGACCUCUGUAGAAAAUCACAGGCAGGGUAGGGAUGACGGAGCUGGCCUCCUCCCUUCCCUUGGCCUGACAAAUAUGCAUGGAAUUCCCAGGAAUGUUCAAGCUUUUUUUUUUUUUUUUUCCAAACUUCAGAUUAGAAUCCAACUCAUGUAGAAUCCAUGUAGAAUCCGACUCAAACAGAAUCCAUCAGGCAUGAGAAUUCUGGAAUGCCCUUCCUGGUUUAUCUACUUCAUCUGUGUUCCAUGAAGGGCACCUGGUCUCACACCUAGACUCCGGGAGCUCCAGGUCCCUACUCUCUUAGGUUUCAGGGCCUAACCAAUCAGGAUGGCAAGAAGGAUGUAUUUGGGGAGAUCCAAGCCUGUCUGCUUGGCUGUAGUGUAGGACUGGGGGGAAAAGAAAGGCACAGUAAGGAUCAAAACAAGGCUGGAGCAGUAGGUAAAGAUGAGUUCAUGCCAACGUAGGAGGCUUGAAGAUGUUUGGUAAGUCAUAGGUUCCCAAACUUUCCAGCUCACUGCAUCUGUAGCAUCUUCGUAAUUUGUUCAUGGUGCCCUCAGCCAGAAGACAUACUUCACAAUUCCAUUCGUUAAGUAGGAACUGUUUUGUGAAAGGCAACCCAGGAUAAGAGGAGGAACACUUGUAAAGCUUGAUAUACCCCAGUGGCUUCCUGUGAGUCUCAGUUUUGCAGUUUCAGAAAUACAGGUUUAUCAGCUUACCAAGAGGUUAACAGGUAUGAAAAACUCGGGUUUUCAUAACCAAAUGUAAAAGGAGUUGGUUUUCAAACCACAAAACUCAAUGACCAUUCAUCGAGGGCUCCAUCUCACCAAAGAAUAAGAACCGAUUUUAUACAAUAGUUGUUCUCCUUUCUGAUGGGUAUUUCUCAGGAGAUGAAAUGGCAGAUUAGAAAUAUCUGGUGAAUAUGUACCUGGAAUAUGAGAGAGAGAGAAAGAGAUACAGUUCGGAAUUUUAAAAUAAAAAAUUUAAUUAUUAUUUCAA